AUUGAACGCUGGCGGCAGGCCUAACACAUGCAAGUCGCACGAGUGGCGGACGGGUGAGCAAUGUCUGGGAAACUGCCUGAUGGAGGGGGAUAACUAUUGGAAACGGUAUCUAAUACCGCAUACCCUCGGAUGUGCCCAGAUGGGAUUAGCUAGUAGGUGGGGUAACGGCUCACCUAGGCGACGAUCCCUAGCUGGUCUGAGAGGAUGAACAGCCACACUGGAGCUAGGAGCCGGGCCAGACUCCUACGGGAGGCAGCAGUGGGGAAUAUUGCACAAUGGGCGCAAGCCUGAUGCAGCCAUGCCGCGUGUAUGAAGAAGGCCGUCGGGUUGUAAAGUACUUUCAGCGAGGAGGCGUUACUCUCAGAAGAAGCACCGGCUAACUCCGUGCCAGCAGCCGCGGUAAUAC
rnacentral:rRNA from 1 species